UACGUAGGGAGCAAGCGUUGUCCGGAAUCAUUGGGCGUAAAGCGCGCGUAGGCGGCCUCAUAAGUCCGUUGUGAAAGUCAAAGGCUCAACCUUUGAAAGCCGAUGGAUACUGUGAGGCUAGAGUCCGGAAGGGGCGAGUGGAAUUCCUGGUGUAGCGGUGAAAUGCGCAGAUAUCAGGAGGAACACCAAUGGCGAAGGCAGCACUCUGGGACGUGACUGACGCUGAGACGCGAAAGCGUGGGGAGCAAACAGG
rnacentral:rRNA from 1 species